CUCUCUCACCUCUCUUGUUAUUUACCUUCACAUUACUUCAUGUGCAUGAGCCACAAUACUUCAUCAAAUGGGGUGGCUUCAAUCCCUCUUCUCUCCGGUCAAAAAGCUAUGGUUCAGGUUGAAUUCAACUCAAAAGAAGAGAAGAGGGCUUUACAUUCUAUAUGAAGAUGUCAAAUCUUGCCCCUACGAAGACGUGCAUGUCCUCUGGUCAAUACUAGUGGAAUCACAUUCAUCUUCUUUACAAUCCCAAAAAUAAAGGCCAUGUGCACUAUGCAGGAUUGAUAAGAAGCUCAUAAUGUACAUAAAUAUAUUUACAAUGUCCAUAGUACUAGUACCAUAGUUUUUUCUUUUUCUUUUCCUUUUAACUUCUGUAGCAUCAACACAUAAUGACUAAAAUUUUGUUUUUAAA